UUAGAAAUAUUCGAUUAUGGAUUAUCAACGAGUGUCUUCUCGCGUUAAGCUUCGAUGAUCGAGGAAAUCGUUCGUCGUAAAAAAAUAUAUUCUUGUUACUUAUUUAUAUAAAAAAAAAAGUUGAAUGCAGCAUUCGAAUUGAUUGGCCCAAUUGUUUUUCCAAGUUGUUUCGAACUGGAAUGUGCAUCUGGAUCUUUAGAUCAUGCAACAUCGACGAUGACGCCGCGUGGUCAAAGUUCGAGGACCAAUAAUUUCGGCUGUAACACUUAAAGCCGUUACCAUGGUUAUCGAACUGCCUGCACCAAUAAGAAUGGCUAUUGUAUACGUAACGACUCCGUGGCUCCCGCCAAAUUCUGUGAUGGCUGCCGAAAGAAUACCUAUGAGAGCUCCGCAAAGAUCUGUUCAUGUAUUUCAACAACAAUGCGGCUAUGAAGGAAGAUAAGUAAGAUACCAAUGGUACCGUAGCCAACGCUUGUUUACCACCAACUGCCGUUUCCUCGAUAUAAAGUGUCGUCGUGUUGAUCGAGUAGCACCAUCGAUUCGCCAUUUGUGGGAAGAACGAUCCAUGUGACAACGAAAACUACUACCGCCGAGCUCACCUGUGCUGAAUACCUGCGACGAAAACAACUUACGACUGUUAAUUCGGUUCGACCGAGUAACGAGCUUGUUAACGACGGGAUCAUAGACAAAUGCGAGAUCUGUACGGCUGCCCAGCCAAUCUGGAAGAUUACGAUGCUCAGUAUAUAAAAGAACAUGACGAUAGAGUUGGAGGUAUUAGCGAAACCUCCAAAAAUAAUUGGGAAACUUAGGGUGACCAAAACGGAGCCGAUCACGUGCCAUAUUUUUUUCUUGCAGUAACGAUCGACGAGAAAGCCAAAGAUUGGCGUUGUGAAAGCAUCCACGAUUUGACCUUCGAAUAACGUUCUAUGUUAUUAUAAGAUAUUUUAAGAUUUAGGUUUUAUUCAUAAUAUCUUAUUUACCUAACAACAACAAUGUGCCAGCCAUUAUUGGUUCCAAGAGAGAAACCUUUUGUAGGUAUAUUAAAGUAUAAGAGAACCACAUGGCUGCCGUCAGAUCGUUGAAAAUAUGUCCCAAGGCAUAAGCCAAUUUUGUCGACAUGGAUACUUUAUUAUUAUCCAUGCCAAGUAGUCCAGUCUCCAUUUUAGAAUUUUUCUCCAUUUUUCUUCUUUCCGUUUUUCCUUUUCUUUCUUGUUUUCUUUCUUUCUUUCUUUCUUUCUUUCUUUCUUUCUUACUUAUUAAUGCUUUAUCGAUAUAUCAGUUUCGAUCCAAAGAAACGUAGAAAGAACAAUUCGUUUUACUCAUCAUCUUGUCUCUUAUUCGUACUAGAACGAAAGCUAACUAAUUAUAAACGAAAGAAAAUCUGCAUUAAAAAAGAGUAAAUACUCUAAGAAAUAUGUCAUGAGAUAACAAAGGAGAUUAACAUAAAUUAUGAUAAAAUUAUUAUUCUUAAUAACGCAAGGCAGCUGUUACAAGUAUGUUUAAUCUUUUAAAACUGAUUAUUAACGGUAUUAAUACGAUCGAAAGAUUAUUUCUUGAGUAUAAAUUUUCUGAAUAAUUAAAUCGUUUGGGUCUUUAACAUUUGAAGAAAAUUCAAAGAAAAACUACAUCUUGUUAACUACAAUUUUUUUUUUAAAUUAUAUUCUUAAAAGUAAAAUGAAUCUCUUGGAAUUGGUUUUCCUUUCACUGGAAAGACCAGCCCGAAGCUAUUUUCCGUUUAUGGAAGUUCGCGUUUGAAACGAUUUCUUUCUCGAGAUAAGAAAGUUACGGUGUAACUUGGAACGUUGCUUGAUAUAUUUAUGAAACACGGUGACACAACGACCGGAAACGUAAUAUUAAAUUUCAUUUACAAGUGUCCGGUAUAUACGUACUUACAUCUUAAAGAUCGAUAUAUUCUUUGUUUCUCAAUCUCUUAUCUGAAUCGGUAAUUUAAAACGCAAACAACGAAAUAAAUAACAAACUCGUCAUUUCGUGUUCUUCUAUGUUAUUAUAAACAGAACGUUGAAAUCCAUUUUAUAAAUUAUAUUUUGAUUUAAUAUUCGAAAUAAUUUCGUUCGACCGAUUCCGGUCGACCUCUUUUUUUUUUUUUUACGAAUAAAGUAAACAAAGAAAGAAAUAAAUAAACAAAAGUAUUGUACGAAGUUGAUUUUUUUUUUUUUUUUUUUUAAUACGAGUAUCUAUCGCGAAUAGAUAAUGAAGAGAUAGAUAGAAGUCAAACGAGUAUAAUGAUCGAUACGUCGAUAAUAAUAAAUUUAGAAAAAGAAAUAAUAAUUACUGCGUGGGUGGAAAAUUAAAAAAAAACUCGUAGAACGUGUCAACCUGGCAAACGAUGAGCAGCAACUGAUCGGUGCUUCGGUCACCGUUUGCUUUGUAAGAAAAGAGAAAGAAUAUGAGGAAGAAGGGAACAAGUAGUAGUAGGUAGAGGGAGAAAGAGAAGAAGGAGAAGAGAGAAAACGUUUCAAAAGUUCGAGUCGUCCUAUCGUUUGUCAUCUUUGUGGAAACUUACUUGUUAUUGUUUAUAUCGGGUUCAAAGAAUUUCGUCAGUUUCGUUAUCACCUAUACAAAGUACACGACGUCAUUUUGUUUCAAUUAUUUUAUAACAACGAUUUAAUAACAACAAAGUAAUAGAGAGUAAACUUAUUCGUUUCAAGUCGUUUCUUUUUUUUUUUUUUUUUUUUAACGCUAAGAAAGUUUUCUGCAAAAUGGGAUUACGUAGUUUCUAAUCUAAUCUAUGGAAUGACUUAUGAUAAAGAAAUAUGUGAGAAUGUACGAGUGGAAGAAUAAAUGAAAGCAACUUUGACAAGUUGUUGAUCGAUUGAAAAUGUUAUAUUCAUUCGUUCGAUAAUAGUAGAAAGAUAUUGAAAGUAUGAUUUAUAGCAGAAGAAUAAAAAUUAUAUAUAAGAAUGCAUAUAUCAGAUAAAAUGCAAAGCCGAUGAGAACUAAGUGAAAAGUUUUAAUGCUUCGAUGAGUAAUUAAGGAAAUUGUUAGAUGAAUUAAUUUAUUAAGGAUAUAAUUAAGGAUAUAAAUUAGAGUAUAUAAGAAUGUAUAUGCCGGUGAUGUAGAAAACAACGUGGACAUCAAUGGAAGAAUUUCAACGAUAUUAAUUUGCUAUUAUCUUCAAUCGAUAAUUGAUACAAUAGAAGAAUUGAAAUAAAGAAAGAAGAAAAGUAAAAGUAUCUUUGGAAAGUUAACAUAUUAAUGGCAAAAAUUCAAAUAAGAAAUACAUAAGUUGAUAUAAAAUAUAUAAUAAGAAUCUGUAUCAAGGUAACUUGGAAGAGUUAUGAAUUAAUUAAAAACAUUUCAAUGAUCUGUAAUAACUCUUAAUAAGAAUGAUAAGAAUUAGUUCAAUAACAUAGAAAUAAAUAUGUGAUUAUUUUUUAUACGACAAUGAAGAAUGUUAAAGGUUUUCUAGAAUUAUUUUCUCAUGUAUAAGUAUCAACAUUGAAAAUAGUGUCUGUGGUUUAAUUUUCACUCGCAUAAGCAUGCUACAUAUAUAUAUAUAUAUAUAUUUAUGUGGUUACAUACUCAUAUAUACUCCUAAACAUUGUGUGUGUAGUGUAUUGUAUGUGUGUGUGUAUAUAUAUAUAUAUAUAUAUAUAUAUAUAUAUAUAUAUAUAUAUAUAUAUAUAUUGGAUCUAAAGAGACCGUAAUCCGAGAUCGAGAACAUGAAACCGGUGCUUUGGUGAGGGAGAGUACGAAGCAACAAUCGAUACUUGGUUUUUCUAUGGUCUCCUUUACUUCUCAUCUCAUUUACUUGAGUUCGUUAACAUAUUGCAGGUCAGACAUUUUCUCUCUCUUUCAAUCUGUUUUUCUCUCUUUAAUAAUAUUACAAAAUAUUGCAUUAUUUUUAUUUCUAUAUUGUUAUGAAAAUUGUAUUUAUUUUUUAUGAGCUAAAUGUUAAAUUCGUUUGUUCAAAAUAAGGAUUGAAAAAGAGAAUAAAAAAUUGUUAAUAAACAUUACGUUUGCAAUGUGUUAGUAAAAAUUAGAAAUAUAUAUAUAUAUGUAUGUAUGUAUGUGUGUGUGUAUGGAACAUUACUAUAGACAAAUUGAAGUAUUUUUAAUAUAAAAGAUUUAAUUUAUUUGAUUACAAAUUGAAUUUUUGUUUGUUUUAUUUCUUUCUUUUUUUAUAACAAAAGUGUAUAUAACAUUUACGUAUUUAAUAUUCUGAUACACUUAUCUUGAGAUUUGUCUAUGUUGAUUAUUCUACUUAUUAUAUACAAAUUAAAUUAAGUAUACUUGCAUAUUUUAUUAUGUAUAUAUGUAUAUAUAUGUAAGAAAUUUUUACACCGAUGGAAUUAAUCAGUGAGAUCUUUUUUUAAACAUUUUAUCGCCGUGUGAAUUUUUUAACGAGAUAACACGAGAUAUAAUAAUAAUAAUGAUAAAAAAAUUUUGUAAACAAAAGAAAAAAGAAAAGAAACAUAGAAACAUAGAAGAAACAAGUAUUACAUGCAGUCUUAUCAAAAAUGAAUUUAUAUAUAUCUCGAAAGAAAUAGAAUUUCACUCGAAUGUAAUUUCGCAUGAUUUCUCUUAGAUCAUUGAUCUACAAACACAUAUGUUCGAUAAUAUCGAUAAUGGAAGCUUGUGUUAAUAUUGUCGAAUGUGAAUAUGUAUUAGUAAAAGAGAAUAUAAGUAUA